ACUCAAAUGAAUUGACGGGGGCUCACACAAGCGGUGGAGGAUGUGGUUUAAUUCGAAGCAACGCGAAGAACCUUACCAGGUCUUGACAUACCGGGAUUAUUUUGGUGAAAGCCAAUUGAUUGCCAGCAAUGGUGUAACCGGAACAGGUGCUGCAUGGCUGUCGUCAGCUCGUGCCGUGAGGUGUUAGGUUAAGUCCUUUAACGAGCGAAACCCCUACGAUUAGUUACCAGCGGGUCAUGCCGGGGACUCUAGUCGGACUGCCGCGCAAGCUGGAGGAAGGUGGGGACGACGUCAAGUCAUCAUGGCCUUUAUGACCUGGGCCACACACGUCCUACAAUGGGUUGUACAAAGCGUAGCAAGCUCGCGAGAGUAAGCCAAUCGCCGAAAGCAAUCCUCAGUUCAGAUUGUGGGCUGCAAUUCGCCCACAUGAAGCUGGAAUCGCUAGUAAUCGCGGAUCAGCCACGCCGCGGUGAAUUUGUUCCUGAGCCUUGUACACACCGCCCGU
rnacentral:rRNA from 1 species